rnacentral:lncRNA from 1 species
GGCCGGGUCAGAUUUCAUUAAUUGGGCCUAGGAUUACAUGAACCAAGGAAGAGUGUUGGUUAACUUAAAGUUUUCUGAUGACAACAUUUGAAAGCUUAUCACAAGUGCGAUAGCCCGUUACAGAUGUCGUCAGCCUUAUAUAGAACGUAGCUCAUCUUUGGCUCCCUUGAUGACAAAAUCUAAUCUCUUAUCACAAUUGAGAUAGCCUGCCACAGAUGUCGUCAGCCUUAUCUAGAACAUGCCUCAUAUUUACCUCCUUUGAUGACAAAAUCUAAUGGCUUAUCACAAUUGUGAUAGCUUGUCACACAUGUCGCCAGGAUUUCUUGGAUUGAUACACCUAUUUCAUCUAGAUCCCUACACAC